GAUGAACGCUGGCGGCGUGCCUAAUACAUGCCAGUCGAGCGAACGGACGAGAAGCUUGCUUCUCUGAUGUUAGCGGCGGACGGGUGAGUAACACGUGGAUAACCUACCUAUAAGACUGGGAUAACUUCGGGAAACCGUAGCUAAUACCGGAUAAUAUUUUGAACCGCAUGGUUCAAAAGUGAAAGACGGUCUUGCUGUCACUUAUAGAUGGAUCCGCGCUGCAUUAGCUAGUUGGUAAGGUAACGGCUUACCAAGGCAACGAUGCAUAGCCGACCUGAGAGCGUGAUCGGCCACACUGGAACUGAGACACGGUCCAGACUCCUACGGGAGGCAGCAGUAGGGAAUCUUCCGCAAUGGGCGGAAGCCUGACGGAGCAACGCCGCGUGAGUGAUGAAGGUCUUCGGAUCGUAAAACUCUGUUAUUAGGGAAGAACAUAUGUGUAAGUAACUGUGCACAUCUUGACGGUACCUAAUCAGAAAGCCACGGCUAACUACGUG
rnacentral:rRNA from 1 species